UCGCCUGUUUAUCAAAAACAUGGUUUCUUGAUUAUUUAGGAGAUCUGACCUGCCCGCUGAAAAAUUUUUGAAGGGCCGCAGUAUUUUGACUGUGCAAAGGUAGCGUAAUCAUUAGUCUUUUAAUUGAGGGCUAGCAUGAAUGGUUGGACGAGGAAAAAGCUGUUUUAUAUUAAUUGUUAUUGAAUUUAGAUUUUAAGUAAAAAUACUUAAAUUUUAUUAAGGGACGAGAAGACCCUAUAGAGUUUAAUAUGUGAAGUUUUAAUUGUGUUAAAAGCGUAACUUUGUGGUUAAUUAUGUAGUAUAUUUAAUUGGGGUGAUUAGAAGAUAAGUAAAACUCUUUUUUGAAAUAAAUAUUUUGUAUAAUUGGAAGAUCCAUUAUUUAAUGAUUGAAAGAUUAAAUUACCUUAGGGAUAACAGCAUGAUUUCUUUUGAGAGUUCAUAUCGAAAAAGGAGAUUGUGACCUCGAUGUUGGAUUAAGAUAAGUUUUGGGUGUAGAUGUUUAAAUGUUAGGUCUGUUCGACCUUUAAAUUCUUACAUGAUCUGAGUUCAAACCGGAGA
rnacentral:rRNA from 1 species